GUGCUUGCUUCGGCAACACAUAUACUAAAAUUGGAACAAUUCAGAGAUUGGCAUGGUUUCUGCACAAGGAUGAGACUCAAGUAUCUAAGCAUAAAAUAUUUUA
ensembl:snRNA U6 U6 spliceosomal RNA